CGGCUCCCUAUGCGCGUUCACACUCCGUCGCAGUGGUGACUCAGCAUAACACCACGUACUAUGCUAGCUGGCUGCCGGCCGCAUGGAACUCUGGGUAGGAGAGUGAUGCGCGUUGUCAACUUUCGGGGAACUACUCUCGGUCUUCUUCUCGGCUGUCUGACACUGCCCGCUGGGGCUCACUAGCUGCCGUGAGUCGAUUUGCUCGCUUACGCAACUGAGCGUGACAAGAGACUGGGCUACCGUCUGUAAGGACAGCGUAAAUAAACUUCGAGGCAGUA